rnacentral:lncRNA from 1 species
CUUUAAAUAAGGUCAAAAACACAUAAUUCGCUAUAUGGGACAUGACCUUGACCUUUUGACCUUUGUCAAGGUCUUUAGUUCCCAAUGUCAUUGCUGAAGACCCCAUGGGUCUAGGACCUUUGGUCAUAUAGUAAAAGCUGAUUUUGCCUUUUCAGAAACCUAAAACAAGAGUUAUGCCCCUUACAGAAGAUCAAAUCUCUUCGGUCAAUAUGUAACAAAGUUGCGCAUUAAUGACCCAAACAUUUUCCACUAUACAACACUUCUG